rnacentral:rRNA from 1 species
ACUGGUUGAUCCUGCCAGUAGCAUAUGCUUGUCUUAAAGAUUAAGCCAUACACGUGUAAGUACCCACAGCCGGUACAGUGAAACUGCGAAUGGCUCAUUAAAUCAGUUAUGGUUCCUUUGAUCGCACCAUCUGCUACUUACAUAACUGUGGUAAUUCUAGAGCUAAUACAUGCCAACAAGCACUGACCUCCUGGGAUGCGGGCAGUUAUCAGACCAAGACCAAUUCGGGCUCGCCCGGUCGCUUUGGUGACCUAAGAUAACCUCCGGCCGAUUGCACACCCCAGUGAUGGCGACGAUGCAUUCGGAUGUCUGACCUAUCAACUUUGAUGGUACUUUCCAUGCCUACGAUGGUGGCCACGGGUAACAGUGAAUCAGUGUUUCGAUUCAACAGAGGGAGCCUUAGAAACAGCUACCACAUUGAAGGAAGGCAGCAGGCAUGCAAAUUACCCACUCCCGACUCGGGGAUGCAGUGACGAAAAAUAACAAUACAGGAUGCUUUCGAGGGUCUGUUAUUGGAAUGAGUACACUUUAAAGCCUUUAACGAGGAUACAGUGGAGGGCAAGUCUGGCGCCAGCAGCCAUGGUAAUUCCUGCUCCAAUAGUGUAUAUUAAAGUUGCUGCAGUUAAAAAGCUUGUGUUUGGAUCUUGGGAUCGAGCUUGUGGCCCGCCACAAGGCAAGCCACCGCCUGUCCCAGCCCCUGCCUAUCGGCACCCCCUUGAUGCUCUUGACUGAGUGACCUGUAGGUCCGAAGCGUUUACUUUGAAAAAAUGUGAGUGUUCAAAGCAGGCCGGUCGCCUGAAUACUUCAGCUUGCAAUAAUGGAAUAGGACUCCAGUUCUAUUUUGUUGGUUUUCGGAACUUGGGCCAUGUUUAAGAGGGAUGGCCGGGGGCAUUCGUAUUGUGCUGCUAAAGGUGAAAUUCUUGGACCGGCGCAAGACGAACCAAAGCAAAAGCAUUUGCCAAGAAUGUUUUCAUUAAUCAAGAACAAAAGUCGGAGAUUCAAAGGCGAUCAGAUACCAUCGUAGUUCCGACCAUAAACGAUGUCGACUAGCAAUCCGGCAGCAUUAUUCCCAUGAACCGCCGAACAGCUUCCGGGAAACAAAAGUCUUUGGGUUCCGGGGGGAGUAUGGUUGCAAAAAUGAAACUUAAAGGAAUUGACGGAAGGGCACCACCAGGAGUGGAGCAUGCAGCUUAAUUUGACUCAACACGGGUACCUCACCUGGCCCGGACACAGAAAGGAUUGACAGAUUGAUCACUCUUUUUCGAUUCUGUGGGUGGUGGUGCAUGGCCGUUCUUUGUUGGUGGAGCUAUUUGUCUGCUUAAUUCCGAUAACUAACAAGACUCCUCAAUGCUAACUAGUAACACAACCACUAGCGUUCGGCAUUCAACAUCUUAGAGAGACAAGUGGCAUUCAGCCACAUGAGAUCGAGCAAUAAAAGGUCUGUGAUGCCCAUAGAUUUAGGUUGCAUGCGUGCCACACUGAAGGGAUCAGUGUGUGUCUACCCUUCGCUUGACAGGUGCGGAUAACCUGCUGAACCCCGUUUGUGAUAGGGAUUGGGGAAUGCAAUUAUUUCCCAUGGACUUGGAAUUCCCAGUAAGUAACGUCAUAAGCUUGUGUUGUUUAAGUCCCUGACCUUUCUACACACCGCCCACCACUACUACCAAUUGGAUGGUCUAUUGAGGUCCUCGGAUCAUCCCCGCCGGGGUCAGCAAUGGCCCUGGCGGAGUGCCAAGAAGACUAUCAAACUUCACUAUCUAGAGGAUGUAAAUGUUGUAACAAGGUUUCUGUAAGUGAACCUGUGGAAG